rnacentral:lncRNA from 1 species
AAAAGCAUAAAAGCAUUUUUUGUACCAAAAAAAUAUCUCUAACCAAUUUUUCAGAAGAGGGUCCUCCUCACAACCCUGAAGAGCGUUUCUUAGCGAUUUAAAGAGCCACCGAAUCAACUUCAACCUAUAUAUGAAUUUAUGAAGACCAAAUAUAUAACAUAGAAUGGUCCAUAGAGAUGGUAUUUUCACUUUAUUUUAGAACAACCCCCUUC